GUUAAAAGAGGUAUGCUAUUUGACACCUUGAUCAGAGAAAAAAUAAAUAAAUCCAAGUGGGCUUCAUCCAAGAGACCCACUGGAUUGCUGAUUCAAAGCAAAAAUGGUAUUUUUAAAAAUACCCAAAAAUCUAUGAGGCUUCUGUGCAAAAGAAAAUGAAAUGUGGUGUAUCAUCUUUUCUAAAGAGGUUCAAUUUGACUGUCAGUAUGUGAAUCUAGAUUCUGAAGGCAGAUUUAUUAUUUUAGUUGGCCUUUUAGAUGGAGUAGAUUAUACAUUAGUAAACGUCUAUUUACCCAAUAAAAAUCCAUUGUAUACUUUAUCCCAUAAAGGAUAAGCAAGUUUGCCCCGGUCAAGCGAUUGAUCAAAACGUAAUAAGACAAGCAGCAUCGAUGAACAUAACCAUUAAAAAAUUUUGAAUUAUACGACUGCUGGAGAUUUAAUCC